GAUGAACGCUGGCGGCGUGCUUAACACAUGCAAGUCGAACGGGGAGGCUCCUGCUUGCAGGGGUACUCGAGUGGCGAACGGGUGAGUAACACGUGGGUGAUCUGCCCUGCACUUCGGGAUAAGCCUGGGAAACUGGGUCUAAUACCGGAUAGGACCACAUUUUGGAUGGUGUGGUGGAAAGUUUUUCGGUGUGGGAUGAGCUCGCGGCCUAUCAGCUUGUUGGUGGGGUAAUGGCCUACCAAGGCGUCGACGGGUAGCCGGCCUGAGAGGGUGUACGGCCACAUUGGGACUGAGAUACGGCCCAGACUCCUACGGGAGGCAGCAGUGGGGAAUAUUGCACAAUGGGCGCAAGCCUGAUGCAGCGACGCCGCGUGGGGGAUGACGGCCUUCGGGUUGUAAACUCCUUUCGCUAGGGACGAAGCGCAAGUGACGGUACCUGGAGAAGAAGCACCGGCUAACUACGUG
rnacentral:rRNA from 1 species